GAUGAAGAACGUAGCGAAAUGCGAUAAGUAAUGUGAAUUGCAGAAUUCAGUGAAUCAUCGAAUCUUUGAACGCACAUUGCGCCCGCCAGUAUUCUGGCGGGCAUGCCUGUCCGAGCGUCAUUUCAACCAUCAAGCCCCGGGCUUGUGUUGGGGACCUGCGUCCGACGCAGGCCCUGAAAACCAGUGGCGGGCUCGCUGUCCACACCGAGCGUAGUAACUAACCUCGCUAUGGAGUGGCGCGGGCGCCUGCCGUAAAACCCCCAAUUUCACAAGGUUGACCUCGGAUCAGGUAGGAAUACCCGCUGAACUUAAGCAUAUCAAUAGCGGAGGA
rnacentral:misc_RNA from 1 species